rnacentral:tRNA from 1 species
UCCCUGGUGGUCCAGUGGUUAGGACUCCUCGCUUCCACUACAGGGGGCCCAGGUUCAAUCCCUGGUUGGGGAA